CCUACGGGAGGCAGCAGUGAGGAAUAUUGGUCAAUGGUCGGGAGACUGAACCAGCCAAGCCGCGUGAGGGAGGAAGGUACAGAGUAUCGUAAACCUCUUUUGUCAGGGAACAAAGGCGGGGACGUGUCCCCGGAUGAGUGUACCUGAAGAAAAAGCAUCGGCUAACUCCGUGCCAGCAGCCGCGGUAAUACGUAGGCGGCAAGCGUUGUCCGGAUUUAUUGGGCGUAAAGCGAGUGCAGGCGGUGCAAUAAGGU
rnacentral:rRNA from 1 species